rnacentral:rRNA from 1 species
GAGGGGUAGAAGGAGCUUGCUCCUUUGAGACCGGCGCACGGGUGCGUAACGCGUAUGCAAUCUACCUUGUACAGAGGAAUAGCCCAGAGAAAUUUGGAUUAAUGCCUCAUAGUAUAUUGGGUCGGCAUCGACCUAUUAUUAAAGAUUUAUCGGUACAAGAUGAGCAUGCGUCCCAUUAGUUAGUUGGUAAGGUAACGGCUUACCAAGACGAUGAUGGGUAGGGGUCCUGAGAGGGAGAUCCCCCACACUGGUACUGAGACACGGACCAGACUCCUACGGGAGGCAGCAGUGAGGAAUAUUGGGCAAUGGAGGCAACUCUGACCCAGCCAUGCCGCGUGCAGGAAGACGGUCCUAUGGAUUGUAAACUGCUUUUAUACGGGAAGAAACACCACUACGUGUAGUGACUUGACGGUACCGUAAGAAUAAGGAUCGGCUAACUCCGUGCCAGCAGCCGCGGUAAUACGGAGGAUCCAAGCGUUAUCCGGAAUCAUUGGGUUUAAAGGGUCCGUAGGCGGCCUUAUAAGUCAGUGGUGAAAUCUCCUAGCUCAACUAGGAAACUGCCAUUGAUACUGUAGGGCUUGAAUUAUUGUGAAGUAACUAGAAUAUGUAGUGUAGCGGUGAAAUGCUUAGAUAUUACAUGGAAUACCAAUUGCGAAGGCAGGUUACUAACAAUAUAUUGACGCUGAUGGACGAAAGCGUGGGUAGCGAACAGGAUUAGAUACCCUGGUAGUCCACGCCGUAAACGAUGGAUACUAGCUGUUGGGAGCAAUCUCAGUGGCUAAGCGAAAGUGAUAAGUAUCCCACCUGGGGAGUACGAACGCAAGUUUG